UAUGAAGCAACAAUGAAUAUAUCUGGGUUAAACUUUGCGUGAAUAAUACGUUUAAAGUAUGCCACCUUGUGACCAAAAAGUGUCUAAAUCGAACCAAAACUGUUCAAGCCCCUAAGUACUAAAUAUGUGGACCCCAGUGCCUAUAGUUGACCUUCUACCGAAAAUAUCAGUCAACCCACCAAGAAAUCUCAAACGAGUAUACCAUUUGGCUUUGCGAGAGUAUAAAAUGCUAGGUUACAUCCGAACUUAGCCCUUCCUUACUUGUUAGGGUAUAAAAAUGUUUCUUUAUGCGGAGAGAAGUAUAACGACUAAUAUUCGAGAAUAACUACUUAAAUAAUAAUUUAUUUCACCAAACGGGAUGUUUUUUAUUGAAUACAUACAACACACAUAUACACAUAAUAAUAUACAAAGUACUGUUUUAUAGUCGUUAUAUAGUACAAUAGUAAACAAGUAUCUUAACUUGAUGGUUUUUUAUUUUGGCAAUAUUUUAACUGAAUGCUUUCAUGUAUUUUAUUUAUGCCCCUAUUCAUUUUUCAAUUUCAGUUAAAGCAAUUCAACUUCAAAUCAACCGAACUCAGUUUGGUAUUACGAACUUCAACUAUUUUCAGUCGCAGUUUUAUUGGUGUCGUCAACAUAGAAAGUGAAGAUUUGACAGAUCACAACAGAGCUGGAAAUCUUUAAAAGGAAACUAAUCAAAACAACUCAAUUUCGAUAUUGCUCAUGAAUAAGUUAAUAAUCAUUUAAAUGGACGUUAGUUUCGAUUUAUAUUACGAUGAAAAAAAGUUGGAGCCAAAACUGAUGUACUGCACAAAUGGAAAAGCAUGAGAUGAUUCAAAUUCAUUGGAACUUUCUAACAACAAAUUCAUAGGUUGUUUUCGUUUAAAUAAGGAAGCAUUUUGUUUUUUACCAAAUAAGAUGAAGGAACAUUAUCCACAACCUUUCCGUUUCCUUUGUAGAAGAAAAAAGUUUGGCAUCACUUCAACCGAAAUUUUUUUGGAUGGAUUUGAGUUGAUGAUACGGAAUUUACGGGAAAUCGAUUUUCCAACUAUGUUUAAGAUGCAAGUUAUUUAAAAAAAUACAUAGCUGACAUGCAACUUUAAUUUGCUUUAAUAAUGACAACCUACUUCAUUUAUAUAUGAAUUAGAUACACUGUAUAUUGAACGAUUGAUCAAAUAUUUUUGAACAUGCUUAUCAUUAAUAAUGCUGAGACACUAUAAAACUAUAGACAAAAACAAACAUAAAUUUAUAUGCACAUUUAAUACGUAUGCAUUCAAUACAAACAUAUUUACCUCAAUUAAGAACAUGCGUCUAUUCAUGCAUGCAUAAAUAGAUGUAUUCAUAUAUAAUAUUAUAUAUGUUAUCAUAUAUUGAUUGUAAAAAUGCACACAAUAUACAUUCGAACAUUUACACGCACAUGCAUUGAGUUGUACAAUUAUGUAUAUAUAUACACACAUAUUCAUAUAUUUAAUUAAAUUAUUUAGAUUUAAAAACUGUAUAAAAGAAAAAGAAAAACCCAAUAAAAGUCAGAAGGAAUAAAUUCUCACGCAAUGAAAGGUCUUUAUUAUUCCCCCACUUUUUUCAAUUUAAACAACGAUAUAUUAUUGGUUAUACAACAAUAUUCGUGCGGUUUGCUAAAAGAUGGCGUAACUUCAAUAUUAUUCCAUUGUUCCAAUAUUCCAAUAUACGUUAGAAAUCGACUGCCCUUGUGCGUCUUUUUCAGUAUGUGUCAUUCAUAUGAAGCAUAAGCAAUAAAUUUUUUCACUCACAUAUGUCGAACUUUGGAUCUAUAUUGUGUCUUUGAGGGGAGCUUUUUCAUCAUUACGAAGAAAACCUCAGCCUAAUGUCUUCGUUUUUUGGUGGAGGUUUAUGGUGAACAUGCUCUAGCUGAGCGAUCGUACCAAAGUGGUUUGCACGAUUUAAAAGUAAUGAUUUUGGCUUUGAAGACGAAGAACGUCCUGGACAUCCAUAAAGUGUGAACACAAAAUUUUUGGGAGUCACUGAAGCAGCUAUUUUAAAGCGUUUAAAAUCAGCCACCAUGUCCUGUCGUUAUUAUGGGCUUAUAAAAUCGGCUGAAAGCUUUAAUGGGGAACGCUACCGACAACAACUCAUCAAAUUGAAGCGAGUAAUUGCCGACAAGGACAUUAGGCAAUAAUUCACCCGCCUUACGGCUGAAAUCUUGCCCCAUCUGACUACUAUUUGUUUCGGCUGAAAGCUUUAUUGGGGAACGCUACCGACAACAACUCAUCAAAUUGAAGCGAGUAAUUGCCGACAAGGACAUUAAGCAAUAAUUCACCCGCCUUACAGCUGAAAUCUUGCCACAUCUGACUACCAUUUGUUUCGAUAGAUGCAGAAAUGUGGUUCACAUCAAAACAGUUAAAGCAAUUCAACUUCAAAUCAACCGAACUCAGUUUGGUAUUACGAACUUCAACUAUUUUCAGUCGCAGUUUUAUUGGUGUCGUCAACAUAGAAAGUGAAGAUUUGACAGAUCACAACAGAGCUGAAAAUCUUUAAAAGGAAACUAAUCAAAACAACUCAAUUUCGAUAUUGCUCAUGAAUAAGUUAAUAAUCAUUUAAAUGGACGUUAGUUUCGAUUUAUAUUACGAUGAAAAAAAGUUGGAGCCAAAACUGAUGUACUGCACAAAUGGAAAAGCAUGAGAUGAUUCAAAUUCAUUGGAACUUUCUAACAACAAAUUCAUAGGUUGUUUUCGUUUAAAUAAGGAAGCAUUUUGUUUUUUACCAAAUAAGAUGAAGGAACAUUAUCCACAACCUUUCCGUUUCCUUUGUAGAAGAAAAAAGUUUGGCAUCACUUCAACCGAAAUUUUUUUGGAUGGAUUUGAGUUGAUGAUACGGAAUUUACGGGAAAUCGAUUUUCCAACUAUGUUUAAGAUGCAAGUUAUUUAAAAAAUACAUAGCUGACAUGCAACUUUAAUUUGCUUUAAUAAUGACAACCUACUUCAUUUAUAUAUGAAUUAGAUACACUGUAUAUUGAACGAUUGAUCAAAUAUUUUUGAACAUGCUUAUCAUUAAUAAUGCUGAGACACUAUAAAACUAUAGACAAAAACAAACAUAAAUUUAUAUGCACAUUUAAUACGUAUGCAUUCAAUACAAACAUAUUUACCUCAAUUAAGAACAUGCGUCUAUUCAUGCAUGCAUAAAUAGAUGUAUUCAUAUAUAAUAUUAUAUAUGUUAUCAUAUAUUGAUUGUAAAAAUGCACACAAUAUACAUACGAAAAUUUACACGCACAUGCAUUGAGUUGUACAAUUAUGUAUAUAUAUACACACAUAUUCAUAUAUUUAAUUAAAUUAUUUAGAUUUAAAAACUGUAUAAAAGAAAAAGAAAAACCCAAUAAAAGUCAGAAGGAAUAAAUUUUCACGCAAUGAAAGGUCUUUAUUAUUCCCCCACUUUUUUCAAUUUAAACAACGAUAUAUUAUUGGUUAUACAACAAUAUUCGUGCGGUUUGCUAAAAGAUGGCGUAACUUCAAUAUUAUUCCAUUGUUCCAAUAUUCCAAUAUACGUUAGAAAUCGACUGCCCUUGUGCGUCUUUUUCAGUAUGUGUCAUUCAUAUGAAGCAUAAGCAAUAAAUUUUUUCACUCACAUAUGUCGAACUUUGGAUCUAUAUUGUGUCUUUGAGGGGAGCUUUUUCAUCAUUACGAAGAAAACCUCAGCCUAAUGUCUUCGUUUUUUGGUGGAGGUUUAUGGUGAACAUGCUCUAGCUGAGCGAUCGUACCAAAGUGGUUUGCACGAUUUAAAAGUAAUGAUUUUGGCUUUGAAGACGAAGAACGUCCUGGACAUCCAUAAAGUGUGAACACAAAAUUUUUGGGAGUCACUGAAGCAGCUAUUUUAAAGCGUUUAAAAUCAGCCACCAUGUCCUGUCGUUAUUAUGGGCUUAUAAAAUCGGCUGAAAGCUUUAAUGGGGAACGCUACCGACAACAACUCAUCAAAUUGAAGCGAGUAAUUGCCGACAAGGACAUUAGGCAAUAAUUCACCCGCCUUACGGCUGAAAUCUUGCCCCAUCUGACUACUAUUUGUUUCGGCUGAAAGCUUUAUUGGGGAACGCUACCGACAACAACUCAUCAAAUUGAAGCGAGUAAUUGCCGACAAGGACAUUAAGCAAUAAUUCACCCGCCUUACAGCUGAAAUCUUGCCACAUCUGACUACCAUUUGUUUCGAUAGAUGCAGAAAUGUGGUUCACAUCAAAACAGGUAUACAAAAUUGCCUUGAUUCAUUCUCGGUGCAUUGCUUUUGAGAAGGAAUUCACAAAUUGUCAGAAAGAUGGGACAAUGUUAUAGCUU